rnacentral:rRNA from 1 species
GAUGAACGCUGGCGGCGUGCCUAAUACAUGCAAGUCGAGCGAAUGGAUUGAGAGCUUGCUCUUAUGAAGUUAGCGGCGGACGGGUGAGUAACACGUGGGUAACCUGCCCAUAAGACUGGGAUAACUCCGGGAAACCGGGGCUAAUACCGGAUAACAUUUUGAACCGCAUGGUUCGAAAUUGAAAGGCGGCUUCGGCUGUCACUUAUGGAUGGACCCGCGUCGCAUUAGCGAGUUGGUGAGGUAACGGCUCACAAAGGCAACGAUGCGUAGCCGACCUGGGAGGGUGAUCGGCCACACUGAGACUGAGACACGGCCCAGACUCCUACGGGAGGCAGCAGUAGGGAAUCUUCCGCAAUGGACGAAAGUCUGACGGAGCAACGCCGCGUGAGUGAUGAAGGCUUUCGGGUCGUAAAACUCUGUUGUUAGGGAAGAACAAGUGCUAGUUGAAUAAGCUGGCACCUUGACGGUACCUAACCAGAAAGCCACGGCUAACUACGUGCCAGCAGCCGCCGUAA